AUUGAUAAAGAAAACUCAUAACAACACUCAAAAUCAAGUCAAAUUCCAACUUUCCCCUGUAAAAGUUAGUGCCUUGAUGAAUUUCCUUAAAAAGAACCUAUUACUAUAGUUUUUGUUGAUUAAUUGAGAGAGUGUUGCCUAUUACGAUAUAGUUGAAAGCCCCUUACAAUAUAGUUGAAAGCCCCUUAAGAUUAUGUUUGAAUUAGUAUGAUGUAGUCAUUCUACUUAAAAUAUUUUUUUUUCUUAUUAAGUCUUUAACAAUACAAAUUCUAUUUGUUCCUAGUCAAGCCUUUACCAUACAAUGAUACAGUCUUCAAAGCACCAUUUUCCUUCUUGCAUUGUGAACGACUUAUACUUCUGUAAAUUUGAUUCAAAAUAAACUGUAAUACUUUUUCAAGCUACCAUGGUGCACUUCAAGAUCAGAAAAUGUCAUAUACAUACCUUUAGAUUGCGGGUCUUAGAAAGGAUCCAAAUGCUAAAGUUAUUUGAAUGAGCGUUAAUUCUCUAGUGACUGGUGCUUUCUCGCUAAUGAGGCAGUCCCUUGACUCUUCGCUUCACCUUUCAGAAUGCUUAACGAAUGAGGCAUUGAAUGUUCUCGAAAGUUUUUGGGACAAAGCAGGAAAAAUGAUGAGAUUUAGAUGAGCAGGAAAUAAUCAAAAUUAUCUAAUUUUUUUUCUACUAAAAAGAGAUAUAUGGUCAAUUAAGAAGAAUCCUUAUCAAGUCAAUAUCUAUAUUUUUUUACUCUACAAUUAGUAUAAUUGAUAUGCUAUUUAUAUUCAGGUAGCAGUAAAGUUUACAUUGCACCCUGUAAUCGAUGUCCUUAAGUUUUAUAUUUUUUGAGAAUUCAUAUACAAUGUCUUAUAUUUGAACAACAAUUUAUUUGUCUGAUUCCUUUCAAACUUUUGAUGAGAGGUUCCAUAGUUUGAAAACAGAUAUCUAAGGUUCUAUGCUUAAUUACUUUUUGUAUUAAGAAACAUGAGUGCAUGGUUACAAAAUUACUGAAAGUUUUUUAAAUUCAAGCUAUCAGUUAGUGUUGUAUUGUUGAAAGUGAAAUGAUCCCACAUCAAUUAUCCAUUCUACUGCUCUUGCACUGCUCUUCUACAUACGCGACAUUUUGAACUUCUUACCGAUAGAAAGAUAUGAAGUGAAAUCCAUGUUCAUAAGAAUUUGAUUUAAUCACAGAAUUGAAUCGGGUCUCAUCCCUUCGAUUCCUCGCUGCAUACUUCAAUGAGAAAGGAAAAGAGCUUUGUUGCGUGCUUCUUCGGGUGUGGUUGCAAAGUUUGAAAAUUGCAUGACAGUGUAAGGGUCGGAGCCAUUGUAUAGAUAAGGUUCAAACUUUUCUUCAAAUUCUUUCCCACAAAGUUAUUUUUGAUUUUGCAAAACAGCCCUGGAAAAAAGAUGAAACAUAAUCUAGUUGAGUAAAAAUCUAUAUGAUUCAUCCAAAAUGUCAUAUAAAGAUAUGUGCUUAAACAACUUGAAAACAGAAUUAAGGUUAGAAUUAAUCCCUUUUUUAGGAAGAUAACAAACAAAGCAUACUUAAAAAGAGAUGAGAUGCUUACUAAUCAGUAACAACUUCGAUGUCCCUUUUUUUCACUUAUUUCCAACACUCUCCAUGUCAGCAAUGGCACAUAGACAACCAACCACAUCGAUAAUAUGAACUGAAAAAAAGUAGUCAUUUCAUAAUUACAUUUGAAUUAAACAAAAUGUAGCAGCAAAGAUUGAUAAUAUUUGUAGUAAUAUUACUUUUCAAUAGUAGAGCUGAAAAAAUUAAUAAGUGAAAGAAAUAGAGAAAGAACUUCAGAUUUGCAACUUAAUCACAUUAAAAAACAGAGAAGGUAUAAUGAAUCAGUAACACAGAAAAUCCAGAUUAACUAAUACUAAUUUAUAUUAUUGAAUACUUGAAUUUAUAAUAAUACUACUUAUCAAUAAUAGAGUUUAACGAAUUAGUAAGACAAACAAACAGAGCAACAACUCCAAAUAUUUCAUUUUCAAUAUAGAGUUGAACGAAUUAAUAAGUCACAUAAGCAAUUACUCCGUAUUUGAAACUUAAUUUAUACUAAUAGUACUUUUAUCGAGUAGAUUUUUCAUUUUCAACAUAGAGUUGAACGAAUUAAUAAGUCAUAUAAACAGAGCAACUACUCCAGAUUUUACUUUUAUUGAGUAAACUUGAAUGAGUUAGUAACUCAAAUACACAAAGCAACAAACUCAAAUUUGCAACUUAAGAAACAUAAAGAUUGUAGCCUUAAAUAUAAAGACUAUAGAUAUGCAAUUUAAUUAUGUGAAGAUGUAUAUUUACACAAACACAAAAUACAAAAAUGGAUAGAGAGUGAACAUUGCUAGCACCAUACAUAACUUUAAUACACAACUGUCUCAAAAUCCUUUCUUUUGGUAGUCAAAACACUACCAAAAGACUUACUUAAAUAUAUUAAUUUGAAAGAAUCUGACAGAAGCUUUGAAUGUCUAGCAAAAACAAAACCUCAACAGUUAAAGUUGUCAUGUAUUGCUUAUAGCUUUCGCAUAACAGAAAAGUGUAGUGUAACAUGAAAAUUUAUCAUUUGAUGGUUAAUCAGUAAAUAAAGAUUGAUUUAAAAAAGCAAACAGAGAUAUGUUGGGGUGAAGUUAUUGCAGAGAAUCAUCUGUAAUCCUAAUUAUCUUUCAUUUUAAGGAAGAAAAAUCAGCGGUCUUUUCCAACCAAAUCAUGAUAUUUGUCAUUCUUCUUGGCUCUUAUUCUCAAGAAAAUAUUUUACCAUACAAUAUAAAAGGACAAUAAAUUUGCCAAAAGAAAAGAAAGAAUAAGGGUAUAAUCACAAAGGAAAAUUGAUACUUCUCAAAUCCUUUCAAAGAGUUGCUUCUGAAAGAUACAAACGUUCAACAACCACUAAGAGAAAAUACUUAUGUAGCAAGCUCAACUUCAAGCAAAACCAUACCUCUCUCCCCGCCUUUAAUAGGGCAAUUAAGCCAUGUUGUGCAGAGAGGAAAAGAAAUAAUAAUCUCACGAUGAAAAAAAAAUGUCUACUUGAUGAAACUUUAAAAUUCAAGAUUUAUUGGCAAAGAUGAAAAUCACAAAAUUAAAGGUGGUCAAAUGAAAUGAACAUGGCCAUACAGAUGAAAGUAUAAAAAGUUGUUCAGUCAUGAAGUAAGUUGUACAUUCCUCAAGAUGACUGACAUAAUCACUAUUUCUUGCAUAAACUAUAGCCGCAUCAUGAGGUUUUGUUAUCAUAUCCUCAUCCUCUUCAGAGUCAUUGUCCUGAAAGAAGAAGUCCAGCAAUGAGCCAAAAAAGAAGAAACGGGGAAAAAGAAAGUGCAAAUAACAUAGAAGAGGUGUGAUUCUGCACAUUAAAUUAAUUGAAUUUAGUCAGUACAUGCUACAGAUACUUUCCUUUUGCUUAAAUGAUGACUAUUAUUUUCAACUAUCUACAAUCUUUAGAACCCAAAGGCAAGUAAAAAUCAAGAAAGAAGAAGAACUUUAAUCUAUGAGAAAGUGAUACACUUUAGGAAUUGAAUAGCACUACUAACGUCACAAAUUCUUUUGGAAACUAAAUUUCAGGAUUGUGGAAAAUUAAUGCAUAAACACAAUAGAGAAGAAGAACAUUAAAAAUAAGUGAAAUUAAAGAACGAAUAUGUUACCCUUGCAUCUUGUAAGAUCAAUUCUAUGAAAUAUGGUAUUUUAGGCUUGAAGCAAUCCGGAAUUUCCCAUAACUUUCAAAUUUCAUUGCCUCGAGUUGCUUGAAAUUGUCGGAUUUCAUGAACUGGUGUAGCCACCUUUACAAACUCAAAAUAAGAGAAACCACAUACUAUUGUUGAAUCAACUUGGGAAUACUAUUGUUAGCAGAAAACAUGGAAUAGAAAGGGAAAGAAGAAACCACAUAAAGCAUUAAUUACCGUAGAUUCAAAGCAGUUAUGGUUGCUGUAGAUAAAAAACAGUUAGGUUAGGAUUGUUGAUG
rnacentral:lncRNA from 1 species